UACCUUGAGUGACUUCACCCAUUCAAACACGUUUUUCCAAACUAGUCAAACGUGCAUGGAUGACUGCACUUAGUUGAAAAAUGUGUUGAACUGAGUGAAGACACUCAGUGU
rnacentral:pre_miRNA from 1 species